rnacentral:rRNA from 1 species
GUUCAACGGCCGCGGUAUUUUGACCGUGCAAAGGUAGCGCAAUCACUUGUCUUUUAAAUGAAGACCCGUAUGAAUGGCACGACGAGGGCCAAACUGUCUCCUUUUUCAGGUCAAUGAAAUUGAUCCCCCCGUGCAGAAGCGGGGAUUAUUACAUAAGACGAGAAGACCCUAUGGAGCUUUAGACACCAGAGCAGCCCUUGUUAAACCACCCUAGACAAAGGAAAAAACCAAACGGGCCCUGCCCUCAUGUCUUUGGUUGGGGCGACCGCGGGGAACACAAAACCCCCAUGUGGAAUGGGAGAACACCUCCUAAAACCAAGAGCUACAGCUCUAAGCAAUAGAAUUUCUAACCAAAAGAUCCGGCAAAGCCGAUCAACGAACCGAGUUACCCUAGGGAUAACAGCGCAAUCCCCUUUUAGAGUCCAUAUCGACAAGGGGGUUUACGACCUCGAUGUUGGAUCAGGACAUCCUAAUGGUGCAGCCGCUAUUAAGGGUUCGUUUGUUCAACGAUUAAAGUCCUACGUGAUCUGA